rnacentral:rRNA from 1 species
UAAAGUCGAACGAUGAGAGUGGGAGCUUGCUCCUGCUGGAUUAGUGGCGAACGGGUGAGUAACACGUGAGUAACCUGCCCUUGACUCAGGGAUAAGCGUUGGAAACGACGUCUAAUACCGGAUACGACCUUCGGAGGCAUCUCCUGGGGGUGGAAAGAAUUUCGGUCAAGGAUGGACUCGCGGCCUAUCAGCUAGUUGGUGAGGUAAUGGCUCACCAAGGCGACGACGGGUAGCCGGCCUGAGAGGGUGACCGGCCACACUGGGACUGAGACACGGCCCAGACUCCUACGGGGGGCAGCAGUGGGGAAUAUUGCACAAUGGGCGCAAGCCUGAUGCAGCAACGCCGCGUGAGGGACGACGGCCUUCGGGUUGUAAACCUCUUUUAGUAGGGAAGAAGCGAAAGUGACGGUACCUGCAGAAAAAGCACCGGCUAACUACGUGCCAGCAGCCGCGGUAAUACGUAGGGUGCAAGCGUUAUCCGGAAUUAUUGGGCGUAAAGAGCUCGUAGGCGGUUUGUCACGUCUGCUGUGAAAACUGGAGGCUCAACCUCCAGCCUGCAGUGGGUACGGGCAGACUAGAGUGCGGUAGGGGAGAUUGGAAUUCCUGGUGUAGCGGUGGAAUGCGCAGAUAUCAGGAGGAACACCGAUGGCGAAGGCAGAUCUCUGGGCCGUAACUGACGCAGAGGAGCGAAAAGCAUGGGGAGCGAACAGGAUUAGAUACCCUGGUAGUCCAUGCCGUAAACGUUGGGAACUAGAUGUAGGGACCAUUCCACGGUUUCUGUGUCGCAGCUAACGCAUUAAGUUCCCCCGCCCUGGGGGAGUACGGCCCGCAAGGGCUAAAAACUCAAAGGAAA